CACGUAUUCACCCUCAAUAUAUAAAGCUGCAUAAUAGAUAUAAAACGAUCAUCUUUCUUUAUGACUACAAGCUGACAUGCAAGAUUGUUGAGAAUCCAAUAGAUAAAAAUAUGACUCUAAACAACAGCAUCUGUGUAUAUAUUAUACUCGGACUGCUUCUAUUGGCGAACGCAGCAGAAGCCAACUUUCUUUGCCGAUUUUUAAUUGGUGGUGUAACAACUGGUGUUACCAGUUUAGCUGGGAGUCCGCUUCUCGCAUCAGCUGCUACAGGGGUGGUGUCUUCACUUGCUGACAAAAUAUGCGGUGAAUAAAAGUGCAUGUCUGAUCCUGUAAUUACUGUAUUACCUAACCAUAAUGCAAUAAACAGUGUAUUAAAAGAA